rnacentral:misc_RNA from 1 species
GGUUGGAUCAUUAAUAAAUUUUCGUUUUUCCUCCCUUCUAACCAAGGUCGAGGAAAUUCAACCCAACCCUGUGAAUUGUUUAAUUGUAUUUUUGGGUAAGUUAGGGUUCUCGGACCUUAGUAAUUGGGGUGAAAGGACUUUAGGGUCUUUUUUUUCCACCUUGCCCAUAUUUUAUUUAAGCUCUAGUAGAAUAACUUGUCUUUAAAAACCUUUAAUCUUAACCGAUUAAAUUUCUUAAUUGAAAACAACUUUUGACAACGGAUCUCUAGGCUCUCGCAACGAUGAAGAACGCAGCGAAAUGCGAUAAGUAAUGUGAAUUGCAGAAUUCCGUGAAUCAUUAAAUCUUUGAACGCACAUUGCGCUCAUCGGUAUUCCGAAGAGCAUGUUUGUUUGAGAAUCAGUUUAAUCUAUCAAAAAUUAUUAUUUUUUCUAACCAAAAUUUAAGAAGUUCUUGGAACAUGGGUUACUUUUCUUGGGUUAAACCGGAAAAAGAACUUUAAUGAGAUUCUAUUUUGUCUCGGACCUCGAGUUAAACUCUUGGGUUGGGAAAAAAGCAUGACCAAAAAUGACCUUCGGGUUAAUUUUAUAAGUGCCUAUUAACCUUAACCAGUAAGUAGUUUAGCUUAGAACUGAUGUAUAACGAUAGUAAAAUGUAAAGCACGAAGUUUUCUAAUCAAAACUUUAAGACUUGAUCUCAAAUCAAAUAAGACUACCCGCUGAACUUAAGCAUAUCAAUAAGCGGAGGAAAAGAAACUAACAAGGAUUCCCCUAGUAACGGCGAGUGAAGCGGGAAUAGCUCAAAUUUUAAAUCUUUCUGGUCCCCAGAACGAAUUGUAGUUUAAAGCAGUGUUUUCUGAGUCGAACCACGGUCAAGUCCUUUGGGAUGAGGCAUCAUAGAAGGUGAGAAUCCUGUAUGUGCUGUGGGGAUGAUUCUUUACGAUACACUUGCCAAGAGUCGGGUUGUUUGGGAAUGCAGCCCAAAAUGGGUGGUAAAUACCAUCUAAAGCUAAAUAUUGGCGAGAGACCGAUAGCGAACAAGUACCGUGAGGGAAAGAUGAAAAGAACUUUGAAAAGAGAGUUAAAAGUACGUGAAAUUGUCAAAAGGGAAACACUUGAAACCAGUCUUGUGAGUAGAAUCCCAACUAGCCUAACGGUUAGCAUAUGUUUCUACUUGCAGGUCAACAUCAGUUUCAGUUGCUGUACAAGGCUUGUUGAAGGUGACCCCUCGGGGAGUUUAUAGCUUCAGGUGUAUGCAGUGACUGGGAUUGAGGAACGCAGUGCUGUCUUGGAGACCCGAUCGCUAGUUGAUGCUCAUUCCUAGAGAACUUGUUCAUUGGGAGUGGGAUAAGGCUAAUCGGUUGGUUUAUCACACCAGUGCUUAGGAUGUUGACAAAAUGGUUUUAAAUGACCCGUCUUGAAACACGGACCAAGGAGUCCUAACACAUAUGCGAGUAUUUGGGUGGAAAACCCGGGAUGCGCAAUGAAAGUAUUAAGGUGGGACCCCGUAAGGGUGCACCAUCGACCGGUCUGGAUAUUUAUUGAUAGAUCUGAGUAAGAGCAUAUUUGUUAGGACCCGAAAGAUGGUGAACUAUGCCUGAAUAGGGCGGAAGCCAGAGGAAACUCUGGUGGAGGCUCGUAGCGAUUCUGACGUGCAAAUCGAUCGUCAAAUUUGGGUAUAGGGGCGAAAGACUAAUCGAACCAUCUAGUAGCUGGUUCCCUC